GCUUUUGAAGGAUAGCAGUCAUCCGUUGGUCUUAGGAACCAAAAACUCUUGGUGCAAAUCCAAGCAAUAGCU
rnacentral:tRNA from 1 species